AAUAGAUACCCGGGUAGUCCACGCCGUAAACGAUGAGUGCUAAGUGUUAGGGGUUUCCGCCCCUUAGUGCUGCAGCUAACGCAUUAAGCACUCCGCCUGGGGAGUACGGUCGCAAGACUGAAACUCAAAGGAAUUGACGGGGGCCCGCACAAGCGGUGGAGCAUGUGGUUUAAUUCGAAGCAACGCGAAGAACCUUACCAGGUCUUGACAUCCCAUUGACCGCUAUGGAGACAUAGCUUUCCCUUCGGGGACAGUGGUGACAGGUGGUGCAUGGUUGUCGUCAGCUCGUGUCGUGAGAUGUUGGGUUAAGUCCCGCAACGAGCGCAACCCUUGUUCUUAGUUGCCAUCAUUUAGUUGGGCACUCUAAGGAGACUGCCGGUGACAAACCGGAGGAAGGUGGGGAUGACGUCAAAUCAUCAUGCCCCUUAUGACCUGGGCUACACACGUGCUACAAUGGACGGUACAAACGGUUGCCAACCCGCGAGGGGAGCUAAUCCGAUAAAACCGUUCUCAGUUCGGAUUGUAGGCUGCAACUCGCCUAC
rnacentral:rRNA from 1 species